UACGUAGGGGGCAAGCGUUGUCCGGAUUUAUUGGGCGUAAAGCGCGUGUAGGCGGCCACACAGGUCCGCUGUGAAAACUCGAGGCUCAACCUCGAGAUGUCGGUGGAAACCGUGUGGCUAGAGUCCGGAAGAGGAGAGUGGAAUUCCCGGUGUAGCGGUGAAAUGCGCAGAUAUCGGGAAGAACACCCAUGGCGAAGGCAGCUCUCUGGGACGGUACUGACGCUGAGACGCGAAAGCGUGGGGAGCGAACAGGAUUAGAAACCCGAGUAGU
rnacentral:rRNA from 1 species